AGAACCUUUCUAAGGUUGCAUCGUCGAAUUUGUUUAUUAUAACUUCAGUGUUGCCGCAAACAUAAGUUCCGCCAACCCUGGGUAUAUAUUAUCGACCUUCUUUAGCACAGAAUCAUUGGAAAAAAAAUAAUAUGAGAGUUAUAGUUCCAGCGUAAGCUGUAAUUAAACCAGUGACGCCGUAAUAUAGGUACGUGUGCUGUUUUUAUUGCGUAACAAGAGUAAGGACUAAGGUUAUAUGUUCUAAGACAUAAUUGGUAAUUUCAUGGCCAUAUAAAAACAAAUAAGAAUAUAAUUAUAUCAUACAUUCGACUUUUGUUCAGUAUGAGCAUAGCUAAUCACUUCUAAUAUUAAACAUUUUUGUGAUAAAGCAAGAAGUUGAAGGUGAGUUGGUUUAUAUAAAAACUUGUUUUUACUACUUUAGCUUCUAUUCUUAAGUCAUCAAAAAAUAUUUUAAACGUCAUUAUUAUUAUUAUUAUUCAACACAGACGACUGAAAUGUCAUUAUUUGACAUUACGCUUACAACUUUUUAACAAUCAGUGAGGGAACAAAGAUAAUCCAGCUAUCCAGCAGACACGACACUGGCAGAAUAUACUGUGCACGUCUAUGCACGGAUGAAGACCAUAAUAUAAAAAAAAUCAAACAGUGAGAAUAUUGACCCGAAAUUGUCAAAUAAGCAUAUUUAUAAAAAAAUAAACCCUCUCUUAUUA